AUUUUAAUUUCUGUCUUGGUUAUUAUUUUACUAGAUGUUAAAGGCUUCACAUCUCACUUUGCAGUGUAUUACACAAAAUUUGUAUUGUUUUGCAUUACUAUUUUGGUAUAACUACUAGUUUAUGCUUAAAAUAAUUUAUUUAGCAAAUGUGAGAAAGGUAAUAUAACGUGUAAGUGAGGAACCAAGUCGGAUAGAGUAGUACUGCUGAAAAUACAAAAACUUUUUCACACAAGUAAAAUUAUGUCAGAAAAGCAGAGCAAAGGUAUUCAAACAUAGGAAUGUUAAAUUGUUUGUAUGUAGUUUGCAAGCAUUUUUCCUGAAAUGGUAUUCUUUACUUAAAUUAAAAUUUUGUUUCAUGUACAAGUAUUUUUUGUUUACAUAUCUCUAUAUAUUUGUUAUUUUUCUGUUUUGAGUAUUUAUGUCAAAAAAAUUAUUUCUUUGCUUAGUUAACAGAGGUGGAAGUUAAUAAGUAAUACAAAUUCUAGAAUAAUUUUAUUUAUUGCAAGGUAAUGAAAGCUACUUUAAGCAUUUCCUACAACAUAAAUCUCAUUCACAUAAAAGAUUUGAGUUCCUUUUUUGAGUUUAUAUAUAUAUAUAUAUAUGUAUUAUGUUGAUUAAUUAAAAGUAUAUAUGAAUUUUUUGCAUCAGUUUCAAGGAGAUUCUUCCUGAUACAUAAAAAUAUUUGUUUAAAAUGAUGUAUCAAACAUGUAGUACAAUUGACACUAAUUUUAAAUCUACAUAUCAGAAAGAAAAAAUUAGCUCUAAAAUUGAUCAAAGUAGAAAAUCUAACAUCUUGAACUGUGUUUGAUGAAAAGUUACUUUAUAGUAAAAAUAAAGGUUACCAUAUUUAAAUUUGAAGACAA